GGCGUGGUGGCUGAGUGGUAAAGCGCUUGGCUUCCGAACUGGGGGCCCCGGGUUCGAAUCCUGGUGAAGACU
rnacentral:tRNA from 1 species